CGCCGCGCCUCCUCACCCGCUCGCCGCGCCGCGCCUCCUCCCGCCGCUCGCCGAACCUACUGAUCCACGCGUGACCAUCAUGCCGCACCACACCACAAAGGAGGGGACAGCGGCGAGGACGGUUCCACACCGGUCGGCGGCGCGGUGAACACGAAGGAGGCAACCAGGACACCGACGCCAAGCCGGCGACCAGGGCGGACACCAUCUCAAUCUCCGGUCAUUUCUUCCUCUGGUGUAUUCACCUCAUCACACCAUUAGUUCUGAUCAAGGAUCUGGAUGUGGUGCAAGCUACAAACACUACCCGGAAGGAGGCAUCGGGAUUGUUAUUGACUCGGAGGAGCAGGAGGCACCCGGAGAGGGAGUAAGCACCUUGACAAUGACAGCCAUGACCCGGCUUAUUUGGUUAUCCUUCAUAUGUCACCUAGGUUGGUUUGUGGGAAUUGACAUGCAUUGUUGUUCCAUUUAACUGAUUUAUUUGAUAAAUAUAUGACCAUAUGAGUAACCUAUUGUUUGUUUUAGUACCAUUUUACUUAUCUAUUUGAUAAACAUGUGACCAUAUGAGUAACAUAUUGUUUGUUUUAGUACUACCAGACACCGCAUUCCUAUUUAAUAGGGAAUUUAUUAUCUAUCAUUCAGGCUAUAAUAAUUGUUUUUUACUAGCGAUUGAAGCUUUAUUGUAUGCUUUAGAUUUAUCUAUUACUAUUAAACAAUCAAACAUAUUCAUCUCUAAAUGCAUCCAACCUAAUCUACGUGUAACAUCCCAAACUAAUUAUAGCCUCAUGAUCCGAAUCACUUGAUUUUAUCUAACAAUUUAGAUUACUCUAUCUGUCACACAUGAGUGCGUUUAGCAAUAUUAGAGUGCAUACGAAAACUCUUCCGUCCCAUUAUGACUCGCGGUGGCGACCCCAUCAAUCACGCCCAAAAAAAAGAAUCAGAUCCCAAUCAGAUCCCCUCACCCUCAACCGGGCGAUGCACCACCGGCUUGCCAUCACAAGACUUCCCAGUUGGCGUGAUCCUCCUCCCCCUUCUCACUAGAUUUCAUCUUCGCCAAUGAGAGGUGCUCUAGGGGGGCUCCGGCGACGGUGGUGGGGAGCAGCGACGCAUUGGCGGGCAGCAGUGCUUAUGCAGCACAUAGCGGCAGCGCUGUAGGGCGGGAAAAUGGAGGCCUGAUGGCGCUGAAGGCGGAUCUCGGCCGCGGAUCUUGGCCGUGAGAGUGACACGCAGAGGCUGUUGGCAGCCGCAUCACCAAGCGGCAACCCCGCCGCCACACCCCCACACAAGCGCAGCGCCCCCAGAUCGCUGAGCCACAACCCCGCCGUUCCCUGCCAAAGGUCGCCGACGCCUUCCCCAACUUUUGGGUCGGCACCCAGAUUGUAGGCCUCCCUUUUAGCACCUUUUAGUGUUUGGUUAACACGUUUCUAUGAAAUUGAAGGUAUCAGUAAGGUUAUGUUGUGUGUUCACAUUAAUUUAGAAAUUGUAUGUAUAAAUUGAGUGCAUCCGAUGUUGUGCUUCUCAUGUUCCCUUGAAUGGAUGGAUGGAAAGAUGUUUUAUCUUUCAGGAUUUCUGGUGUGCGUACGAUCCUCUAAAUAACUUUUUUUCAUCUCAUGCAGCAACAGAGGUUUAGUGUAAGGCGUUGCAGCAUGGAUGCACAUGGGAUGCUGCACGUUAAAGUCCUUUACUUUGUUGAUAAUUUCUGUGAUGUAGAUUAUAAGUUAUAUAACAGAAAUAGAAUUUAAUUUGUGUAUGGUGUGGAUUCCAAAACUAAUCUGCUUCUAUUGAAACGCUCGCUUGUACUAGAAUUUUUCUAAAGCUAAUGGAAUCCCCUUGUACUCCGUCUAAAGCUUUCACGAUGACUACUUUUCCAAGAUACAUGUGACAGAGAGUAGGAGCUCAGGGAGCUGAAUGUGAAAGGAUAAAGUAGUCGGGAAGGAGAAAUCAUAUGUUGGAUUAACUAAUGCUUCCUAAUCAGUAUGCUUUUCAUAUUGUCGUUUAUAUUGAACUAAUAUAGUUUGCUUUUGAUUAAGGAUCUUGACAUGGCACCUAGCUGUUUUUGAUUUCCUGUAGUUUUUGUUGAUCUUCUCCUUCUUCGGAUUAAAUUGCUCAUUGCUUUUCCUAUUCUUUUGCAGGAACAUGAACCUUAUGAUGACCCAUAGUUGGAUGUAUGUGAGAGAUAAACAUUCAGACAUCCUUGAUGACUGGGAUUCUAGGAAGACGAUCACAUACUCGACCAGGCCACCUGUCACCGCGAGACAAGCUAAAAGUGAAGCAACUACAGUCAAUUUAGAGAAAGGGGAAAAGAAAAUGUAUGACACAAGGACCCUAAACCCUAAACAUUUGCAUUCCUGAUCCUAUUUAUGAUCCUACAAGGGCUAUCUCUAUGAGCUGAACAAUUAUAGCAGAUGACACAAUCAAAUUCAGAGGCUCUGUGCAAAAAUAUUUGUGCUUGGAUCUUCUGAUGAUGCCCACGGAGCCGCUGCAGUAAUCUCCUCGGCAGUCGGCACUUCCCUUCUUCGCCUUCUUUGAUCGAGAGCACGACGGUUUCUCUCCAUGUCCCCGUCGGCAUAUCAACGGUGGCAUAUCCGACUAUGAGGAUCACCAGGUUGCAUGUGGUAUUGACGGUAAAUUUGAGAAGCAGCAUCAAACUCCUCGAUGUUGCUCUUAUCAUAUGGUGUAAAUAGAUUUCGAAUAAAGCAAUCGCUAUGAGAAUUUUUUUGAGGGAGAGGAUGUUGACAGUGUAUAGUUAGAUGUAAGAAGAUAUAAUCAUGAAGUGUGAGAGAUGGCAACAGUAUGGCAACAUGGUGGAAUGUACUGUUGUGCUCACCAAUGAAGGUUAGUCUUUCUUUCUGCUGCAGCCAGUCGAUUAUGCAAAAACUAUACCUAAUAUCUAUGUAGGUACGCCCAAAUAUAUAUAAGUGGGUGUUGUUAACACUGAGUUUGUAUUUAUUAAUGGGCAUACAUGUUUAAUUUCCUUUUUCUUUUAUUUUUGAUCUGAUCAGGACUUGAGAUCUGGAAAGGAUCACAACAAGGAUAUAAAUUUACGCAUAGCACAACUAUGGUUACUUUUUUACUAAUAAUUUUAUAGAUAUCUACAUACUAAUAGUGGUCGUCUUUUCAUUCGUGAGAAAACAUAUGCAAUGUUCCAUCCUGUCUUAUGUGAAACUUUUAUCCACAACUGAUUGAACUAAAAUGUCAUGAAACAUCUAUACUAAUUUGUUUUCUUAAAUUCUUUAGUUAGAAUCCAUCUCUUCUAUGUGAAUAGAGACGAACCACGAUUAUUCUAGCAAACUAUGGCCUCGACAGACACUCACUAUCAUUUCUACGUUUAAUUAGAGUGACCGAGGCAAUUAGAAUGAAAUGAUCAUGCAUUCUAUCUUCAAUAUGACAAAUGACAAUUCAAGUGGAGAAAGAGUCAUUAAGUAUAGGAGCCAUUAGUGUACAUAUUUGAUUUUACCAAGAAACCCAAUGAUUAGAUAUGCAAAAGAUGAUGCUAUGAGGAAAUAAACAUGCAAAAUUUAGUGAAAAAGUAUAUUGUUGUACAUGAGGCCACUCAUUUCAUGCAAUUGUCCACUCAUUGUCACUUACCAUUGGUUUUACUAACAAUAUACAGAUUGCAAAACAAUUUCUAUAAAAUAAGACCAUCUUUCUAAAUCUCACCUCAUCUCAAUCAAUCAAUCAUCAAUCAUCAAACUAUCAAGCCAAGACUAAUAAAGCAAGGUGUGUUUCUCUGACUUUUUUUUAUCCAUUCACAUGCGUCUCCUAUACUCAAAAUAAAAGAGGCGAUACUAAUUCUUAUUCUCAUGUCAAAGUUUUGUUUGGCGAGCCACGAUAACAAAAUAGCCCAGCUAUCCUGUUCGAGGAUCAUUUUCUAAUGCAUAAUAACCCAUUGAGCCCUUGAAUAUUUAAACUGUUGUCAUAUAUACUAAAUGAUUAGAAUAUCCUUGACAUGUGAUAAAACAUGUUUCAAUAUAUUUACUGCAACAAAAUAUAAUGUAAUAUUUAAAAA